AGAGUUUGAUCAUGGCUCAGGACGAACGCUGGCGGCGUGCCUAACACAUGCAAGUCGAACGGACGAGGCCCCUUCGGGGACCGAGUUAGUGGCGGACGGGUGAGUAACGCGUGAGCAACCUGCCCUUCAGAGGGGGACAACAGUUGGAAACGACUGCUAAUACCGCAUGAUGCAGCGAGAUCGCAUGGUCUUGCUGUCAAAGAUUUAUCGCUGAAAGAUGGGCUCGCGUCUGAUUAGCUAGUUGGAGGGGUAACGGCCCACCAAGGCGACGAUCAGUAGCCGGACUGAGAGGUUGAACGGCCACAUUGGGACUGAGAUACGGCCCAGACUCCUACGGGAGGCAGCAGUGGGGAAUAUUGGGCAAUGGGGGAAACCCUGACCCAGCAACGCCGCGUGAAGGAAGAAGGCUUUCGGGUUGUAAACUUCUUUUACCAGGGACGAAGAACGUGACGGUACCUGGAGAAAAAGCCACGGCUAACUACGUGCCAGCAGCCGCGGUAAUACGUAGGUGGCAAGCGUUGUCCGGAUUUACUGGGUGUAAAGGGCGUGUAGGCGGAGCUGCAAGUCAGAUGUGAAAUCUGGGGGCUUAACCCUCAAACUGCAUUUGAAACUGUAGCCCUUGAGUAUCGGAGAGGCAGGCGGAAUUCCUAGUGUAGCGGUGAAAUGCGUAGAUAUUAGGAAGAACACCAGUGGCGAAGGCGGCCUGCUGGACGACAACUGACGCUGAGGCGCGAAAGCGUGGGGAGCAAACAGGAUUAGAUACCCUGGUAGUCCACGCUGUAAACGAUGAAUACUAGGUGUAGGGGACUGACCCCCUCCGUGCCGGAGUUAACACAAUAAGUAUUCCACCUGGGGAGUACGACCGCAAGGUUGAAACUCAAAGGAAUUGACGGGGGCCCGCACAAGCAGUGGAUUAUGUGGUUUAAUUCGACGCAACGCGAAGAACCUUACCGGGAUUUGACAUCCUGCUAACGAAGCAGAGAUGCAUUAGGUGCCCUUCGGGGAAAGUAGAGACAGGUGGUGCAUGGUUGUCGUCAGCUCGUGUCGUGAGAUGUUGGGUUAAGUCCCGCAACGAGCGCAACCCCUAUUGUUAGUUGCUACGCAAGAGCACUCUAGCGAGACUGCCGUUGACAAAACGGAGGAAGGCGGGGACGACGUCAAAUCAUCAUGCCCCUUAUGUCCCGGGCUACACACGUAAUACAAUGGCGGUCAACAAAGGGAAGCAAAGCCGCGAGGCAGAGCAAACCCCCAAAAGCCGUCUCAGUUCGGAUUGCAGGCUGCAACUUGCCUGCAUGAAGCUGGAAUUGCUAGUAAUCGUGGAUCAGAAUGCCACGGUGAAUACGUUCCCGGGCCUUGUACACACCGCCUGUCACACCAUGAGAGUCGGGAACACCCGAAGUCCGUAGUCUAACCCGCAAGGGAGGGCGCGGCCGAAGGUGGGUCUGAUAAUUGGGGUGAAGUCGUAACAAGGUA
rnacentral:rRNA from 1 species